rnacentral:rRNA from 1 species
UACGGGGGGGGCAAGCGUUGUUCGGAAUUACGGGGCGUAAAGGGUGCGUAGGCGGCGCGGUAAGUCGGGUGUGAAAUCUUGGAGCUUAACUCCGAAACUGCAUUCGAUACUGCCGUGCUUGAGGACUGGAGAGGAGACUGGAAUUUACGGUGUAGCGGUGAAAUGCGUAGAUAUCGUAAGGAAGACCAGUGGCGAAGGCGGGUCUCUGGACAGUUCCUGACGCUGAGGCACGAAGGUCAGGGGAGCAAACGGG